CCCAUUCAUGCUCUGUCUCAAUAAAUAAACGUUAAAAAAAUUAAAAAAAAAUAAAAUAAAAUUGAGCAAGAAAAAAUUCACUGCCUUUUGCACAAACACAUUCGCAAUCCUUCACGUUAACAAAGUUACUCUCAUUCCCUCCACAGCAAGUAUAAGUGAAGCCUUCCCAGGCUUUGCGUCUUGGAUUAAAGCAAUAGCGAAUCACAUGAGCAGAGCGCAGCCCCUCACCUUUUAGACUGUGGCAAAAACUGAUGGACCUUUGCGGGGUAAAAAAAAUCAGAAAUGCAAUAAUACCAGAAUUAAGAAGCUGUGACUAUCACUGAGGGAGCUGAAGAAGAUCGAAUCCCACAGAAACUUCAUUCUGAAUCCUAAAUGUACUAAACCGCUGAAAAAUUAGUGCCUCUGGGACACCUGGGUGGCUCAGCCAGGCUCUCUCACUAAUGACCUCUCACGGAGCUAGGAGAUUUGCCCAUUUCCAACUUCACGUCUAUUUUUAAAACCACAAACUUUCUUUCGCCACAAUUAUCACUGGCUUUGGACUUUGAAAUCAGCUACGGUGUUGCCACUUAUUCUUUGCAGGACUCUGGAUAAAUGGCUUCGUCUCCGUUUUCUUAUAAAACAGUGUAAGAUAACACCGGUUUCAAAGCUUCUGGGGAAUCAAACAAGGGGAGGGGGCCCGCCUCAGAGAAUCAGCAGUCUCCCCGAAGACGAUUGAUUGAUUGGCAAGUGGCUGGAACACUCAUGGGAUUCGAACUCGAGCCUUUCUAACCUCCGAACAGUCUUCCCCCGCCACCACAGUCCAGCCGGCUUCCCACAGGGCCCCGGGGAAGGGCCCCGUCCCAGAGCAAAGCUAGUUUGUUUUCCGCUCCGGUGCCUCAUUAGAUGCAGCCAAGUUUUAUGCCCCUGGGUUUUCUGAGGGUGCGGGGUUGAUUAUUAAACCAGCUGAUAUGUGAAAAAUACUGAUAAGGUCAGUGCCAGCUCCCGCCCACCCCGCCCCCCCAGCACAGCGCUGCAGCUGGGCGCUCCUAGGUGCUUUCCAACCCCCAGUGAUGAAAACGUGACCUCAGAAAGGGUGUCACGUUAUUCCAAGAAGCCAGAGGGAACCUGGAGGCAAGGAAGGUGUUGGGGCAUCUCACCGCUCCGGAGGGAUGUUGUAGGGAAUGAGCAUGGAACUAAUUCUGAAAGGCACACUCCCUACCGGCUUGCUUUUUACCAGUGAAUGCCAAAGCAGCACCUUCCUGAGACAGACCUGCAGGAGUUGUUUGUGAUGGGAAAGAAAAGGGUUCAAAGAAGCCAGUCAAAACAGCAAUUUGUGUGUUUUGUCGGAUUGGGCUGCCCUAUUUCAGCAAAGCCAAGCAGCGGCGAGGAAGGAAGAAGAAAAUGCUGCCACCAUUUUUUUUUUUUAAACCCAAACAAUAGAGAACAUCUAAGUGAACCAGUCUGCCUUCUUGAUGAUUCAUUCGGACAAGUGUCGGAGGAGGAGGAGGGGCAGGGAGUGUUGGGUGGUUGUGGCGAUUGUGAAAUCCUUUUGUUUUUCGAAGUUUACUUUUUAGUAAGAGAUUCCCAGAUCCUCUGUCUGGAGGGCGCGCACGCGUUUAUCAGAAAGCAGAGAGCGAAAACAUCUUACUUUGCCCAUCUUAAAAAAAAAAAAAAAAAAAAAGACCCAACUCCGUAUGGCACCUGCAAAUAAAAUGAUAAAAAUACUCCUUUCCUCUUCUUGAAACUUUUAUUGGUGUUGCAUUAAAAAGAACAGGUUUCUGAGAGUUAGGACUAAACUUUUAUUUAAGUUUCAUAAUAUAAAUAUAGAAGAAUAUAAGGAAGUCAGGCUAACGCUUCACAGAGGACCCAUGGGAGCCCUGGGAAAGUGCCAGCCAGGAUGAUAAACCUGGACUUUUCUUCCAGACUUGAAAUUAACAGACAGGAGGAAGAAGGGCAUUCAGGCUGCCUACGUGUGCCACUUCCAACCCACACUUUUUCAAGCAUCAGCUGGGAAAUGAAGAAGUGUGUAUUUCUACAUGUCUUGGAACAAAGUCUGGUGUAAUUUUCAACCCAAGUCAUCUUAUAGGUACAUAGGAAUUCUCUUCAUAAUGAAUAUUGCUAAUGGGACAUAGAUAUUAGCCCUUCCAUUACGCAUUUUACUGUCUCAUCCUUAAAGACUAGGGAAAGUUUCCUAGCCCUGGUUUACCUGGACCAGUCCUGGUUUUAAAACUGAAAGUCUCGGGGCGCCUGGGUGGCUCAGUCGGUUGAGCGUCCAACUUCGGCUC